rnacentral:lncRNA from 1 species
UAAGGUUGAAACAAUAAGAUUAAAACAGUAAAAAUUGGAGGUACCAAAGAUGAAUUAAGAUUUUUUUUAUUUUUUAUUUUUUGUAGUAACUAGCUUUGGUCAGAUCUGAAAUGGGCUGAAGUCAAUUACGCUAUUUUCUAGAGUUUGAGUUUUGACUCAAGAUAUUUCUAGUGUCGAUGAACAAAACUAAAGGUAAAUCUAGUGUCGAUGAAAUACCAAACAACGAAAGUGAAUAUUUAUGGUCGAAAACUAUUUCAUCUCUCUGAUGUGUGGGAUUCUAAUGGUCAAAAUUAAAACACAAUUUAAAUAUUAAAAAAUUAAAGUAAGGAGUUAAGGUUGAAACAACAAGAUUAAAACAGUAAAAACUGGAGGUAUUAUUGAUGAAUUAAGAUUUUAUUAUUUUUUUCUUUUUUUUCGUAAUUGACUUUGAUCAGAUCUAAAAUGGGCUGAAAUCAAUUACGCUAUUUUCUGAAGUUUGAAUUUCGACUCAAAGUAAAUCUAGUUAAGGUGAAACAUCAAACAACAAAAGUGAACAUUUAGGGUCGAAAAUUAUUUCAUCUCU